rnacentral:rRNA from 1 species
AUUGAACGCUGGCGGCAGGCCUAACACAUGCAAGUCGAGCGCGCGGCGGACGGGUGAGUAAUGUAUGGGGACUGCCCGAUAGAGGGGGAUAAAUACUGGAAACGGUAGCUAAUACCGCAUACUAUCGGAUAACCCAUAUGGGGUUAGCUAGUAGGUGAGGUAAUGGCGCACCUAGGCGACGAUCCCUAGCUGGUCUGAGAGAAUGAUCAGCCACACUGGGACUGAGACACGGCCCAGACUCAUACGGAGGCAGAAGUGGGGAAUAUUGCACAAUGGGCGCAAGCCUGAUGCAGCCAUGCCGCGUGUAUGAAGAAGGCCCUAGGGUUGUAAAGUACUUUCAGGCGGGAGGCGUUACCGACAGAAGAAGCACCGGCUAACUCCGUGCCAGCAGCCGCGGUAAUAC